rnacentral:lncRNA from 1 species
GUUUGCUCAUGUCAAUCACCUAGUAUUUUAAAUAGUCAAUACUAAAAUGCAGUACAUGCAUUUUAUUUUAUAGCCUCAUAGAUUACUGUGGGAGUUUUCAUAGUUUUCAUCUCUAUAAUCUCAUUUGACUCAUGAUAAUCCAAGGAGGUAUGUGCUAUUAUUGUUAAUGUCUCUGUUUUACAGAUGAGGGAACUGAUAUAUCUAGAUCUAUGAGCAGAGGGGUGUUUGCAUGUGUGUGUGUGUGUGUGUGUGUGUGUGUGUGUGUGAGUGUUUCUCUGUGUGUGAAUGAAUAUAUGUGCAUGUGCUAUAUAUAUUCUGAGGCCAGAGUUGACACUGUGCCUUCCUCCAUAACUCUCCACUAUAUUUAAUUUUAAGCAGUCUCUUGCUGAAGCCAGAUUUUGCAGCUUUGGCUAGUUUAGUUAGCCAGUUUGCCCCAGAGAUCCCCACCUCUGUCUCCUUGAUGCUAUGUAGCUGCCGCCCCUGUCUGGCUUUUUGAUGGGUUCUGGGUAUCUGAACACAUCUUCCCAACCCUUUGAGUGGGAUUUUUUUGAAGUUUCUGGUUCUAGGAUUUCAUAAAAAAUAAAUCCCAAAGGACUACUUAUGAUUCUGCCAUCCCAGUGUAUUCAGGCCAGCUAAGGAAAAGACCUAGUCUACAUCUUCUAAAAGGCUCACCAUGUAGAUCUAGUUGGACUUUACUGGUCCCCCUGUAGAGUGCACUCCUGUGUUCAAAGACCUGUGUGGCAGGAGGAACUGGUAAAAUAAGAAUUAUGAAAAUGGGCUCCUAAUGAGGGCCUUGACACUGCUCUCACCCAUAUAUGGCUGCCUGUGCUCCCUCUGAGGCAUAUACAUCCUCUGACCUAGAAAUUCUUUUGUAAAUUUUUAAAAGAUUUUUUUGGAGGGUCCCCCCAAUCUCCUAUUUCCUGAGGUUGCCUGUUUCCAUUCUUUCUGCUGGCCCUCAGGGCUUCAGCCCUUUUCCCUCACCCAAUACCAGAUCAGGCUCCCCACUAAUGCCCACUUUCUCUCCCAGUUCCCUCCCUUCCUCCCUGCUUGUGAUUGCUUUCUUCUCCCUCCCAAGUGGCACUGAGGAGUUCUCACUUGGGCACCUCAGCUUGUUGACCUUUUUGAGUUCUGUGGACUGUAUCCUGGGUAUUCUGUACUUUUUUGUUUGUUUGUUUUUUUGUUUUUUUGUUUUUGUUUUGUUCUGUUUUGGCUAAUAUCCACUUAUUAGUGAGUACAUGCCAUGCACGUCCUUUUGGGUCUGAAUGCACCAGAGACCUGGGAGGUGAGAGACUCUCCAGACUCAAAGGAAGGGAUCUUAGAUGAAAUGCCCAACAGUAGGGAGAGGG